rnacentral:misc_RNA from 1 species
GAUGAAGAACGUAGCGAAAUGUGAUACGUAAUGUGAAUUGCAGAAUUCAGUGAAUCAUCGAAUCUUUGAACGCACCUUGCGCCCUCGGGUAUUCCUGAGGGCAUGCCUGUUUGAGUGUCGUGUUACCCCUACUCAGAAUCUUUCCCUUUACUACGAAGGGAACGAGACUGGAUCGUGGCCGAUUGCCGCGGGUUCGGAUCGAAAGGUCCGGCCCGGCGGCGUGGGUCGAAAUGCGGCUUGCCUGACGGCCCCGAAAUGUUGUAAUUACCUCGUUUCGCGGACUGAAUCAAUACAUGACUUUUAUGACCUCAGAUCAGGUAGGAUUACCCGCUGAACUUAAGCAUAUCAAUAAGCGGAGGA